UACGUAGGGUGCAAGCGUUGUCCGGAAUUAUUGGGCGUAAAGAGCUCGUAGGCGGUCUGUCGCGUCGGCUGUGAAAACUUGGGGCUCAACCCCAAGCCUGCAGUCGAUACGGGCAGACUAGAGUGCGGUAGGGGAGACUGGAAUUCCUGGUGUAGCGGUGAAAUGCGCAGAUAUCAGGAGGAACACCGGUGGCGAAGGCGGGUCUCUGGGCCGAUAUUGACGCUGAGGAGCGAAAGCGUGGGGAGCGAACAGG
rnacentral:rRNA from 1 species